rnacentral:rRNA from 1 species
UUGACCUCGGAUCAGGUAGGGAUACCCGCUGAACUUAAGCAUAUCAAUAAGCGGAGGAAAAGAAACCAACAGGGAUUGCCUCAGUAACGGCGAGUGAAGCGGCAACAGCUCAAAUUUGAAAUCUGGCUCUUUCAGGGUCCGAGUUGUAAUUUGUAGAAGAUGCUUUGGGUGUGGCUCCGGUCUAAGUUCCUUGGAACAGGACGUCAUAGAGGGUGAGAAUCCCGUACGUGACUGGGUGCCUUCGCUCGUGUAAAGCUCUUUCGACGAGUCGAGUUGUUUGGGAAUGCAGCUCAAAAUGGGUGGUAAAUUUCAUCUAAAGCUAAAUAUUGGCCAGAGACCGAUAGCGCACAAGUAGAGUGAUCGAAAGAUGAAAAGCACUUUGGAAAGAGAGUUAAACAGUACGUGAAAUUGUUGAAAGGGAAGCGCUUGCAACCAGACUUGCAGGCGGUUGAUCAUCCGAGCUUCUGCCCGGUGCACUCGAUCGUCUUCAGGCCAGCAUCGGUUUUGGUGGGCGGAUAA